UGGACGAGUCUUAGUUUUCCCGCAUUGCUUCUGGGCCACCGUUAGAGGGCGAAGCGGAGGCUUGGCGGGCUGGGAUAUAAAUUUCGUCCUGGUCGACUUCGGUUUUACCUGCUUUGUGUAUUUGUAGGUCUGAGUGUGGUUUCUUCUAAAUGAAGCACUUGCCAAUAGGUUCUGAAAGGAAAAAUUAGCAAAGAAAUAAUUAACACAAAGUUCAGGAUCUAGCUGCUGCCUCGGUGGCGAGUGAGAAGUGUGACUGGGAUCGCACAAGUCCAGGGAGCGCCGUUUACAUUAUAUUCUCCUUAAUUUGUGGAGCCAUUCCAGGCUCCAGAGAGGAGAGUUAUGGAAUUUGGAGGACUUCUAAAUCCAAAGUGUGGUCUUACCUCUGAUUUUACAUGUGGAAUUUGAGGGCCCUGUACAAUUUUAUAAUGGUGUGGCCUGCUAUUCCAUUUAUGGCAACAGUUCACACUGAUAUUUAAUGUAAGUCAUAACCUAAAAAGCAAACAAAGAAUACAAAACAAUAAAACCUUGCUGGAAUUUUAUUGAAAUUGCUUUGAAUUUAUAGCUUAAUUUGGGAAGAAUUUCCCGUUUACCAGUCCAUGAAC
rnacentral:lncRNA from 1 species